rnacentral:rRNA from 1 species
UACGAAGGGGGCUAGCGUUGCUCGGAAUGACUGGGCGUAAAGGGCGCGUAGGCGGAUCGGACAGUCAGAUGUGAAAUUCCUGGGCUUAACCUGGGGGCUGCAUUUGAUACGUGUGGUCUAGAGUGAGGAAGAGGGUCGUGGAAUUCCCAGUGUAGAGGUGAAAUGCGUAGAGAUCGGAAAGAACACCAACGGCGAAAGCACUCUGCUGGGCCGACACUGACACUGAGAGACGAAAGCUAGGGGAGCGAAUGGG